GGGUGCGAUCAUACCAGCACUAAUGCACCGGAUCCCUUCAGAACUCCGUAGUGAAGCGUGCUUUGGCGGGAUUAGUACUAACAUGGGUGACCCCUCGGAAGUCCUCGUGUUGCAUCCC